AGGCUAACAAGGCAACUCUCGACUCUUUAUAUAUGACUCCCCAUGGAUGACCCCGCCCAGAUCAAUGUUAAGCUCUGGGCUAGAUCUGCACAGUGGCCUAAUAUGGACCCGUUUGAGGAGUUACACUCACUCCAGCCAAAGAAAGGUGGAAGGCUCCAGCCCAUGGAGUAGACCCAGGCUAUAGCUACAAAGCAGAGAGCUUUUUUGUGAGACAUCACUCCAAGAGAGGCCAGAGGUCUGGUGAUG